CAUUGCAGUUCAGAUUGCGACUAAAAGCACUUGGUGGCCGCUUUAACGAGCGCUCCGGACGAAGAUCGCCGGGACAACACCGAACAUACGAUGCACCGGGUAAUGUUGUAUAAUGCAGAAUUAAGAAACGUUGUCCAAGGAGCGGUUCGGGGUUGCGGUUUAACAGAAAUCAAUUGGUAUUUGUGAUUACGCAAUAAUGGCUGGCCAAAUUCGUCGAUCGCCCCGCUUCGGCGACUGUUUAAGAUUCCAGCACGAUGAAACAACGAAUAAAAAGGGCAGGAAGAGAAAGAAUAUUAAUUGACGCUCUUAGCCCCAGACCGUUGAUUCUUUUGGUCAACUCGGCGCUGGCUCUUUCGACGACCCCCUGCGCUGAUAUCGAAGACAUCUCUCAAGAAGCGGAGGCGCACUCCCUUUGCUCAGCCACGACUUGUAGUCAAGACAAGUAGGGACGCGCGUGACCGUGGUUGAAACGUUUCAUAUUCGACAGCCACGGAAACAAAACUCAAUCUUCAAGUUUUGCACGGUUCCUCUACCACUCUCCUGUUUUUUCCUGCGUUUCGGUUCUUCUUUUUGCGUUCGCAACGUCCGGCUGCUUUCACGACAAUAACGGGUUCCUCCAGCACAUAAGGUCAAUCGUUAAUUCCAUGAAAGUUGUUCGAUCAUAACGUUCAACAGCUUUCUAAAUUUAUCAGGUAUAUCAGUGCGCGUAGCCAAGGAGAACGAAACGCAACCCUUCGAGAUAGCUCGUCGCAUGCAGCGAAUCGAUGACGGAACGUUUUGCUGGAAAGAUCUAUUUUAAUCGACAGCUCGUGACAGUCGCGUGAACCGUUUGACGAAAGAUUUAUAUGUCAGAAAAACGAAAGGAGACGAUAGUUCAGAACGAAGAAAAAGAAAUGGAAAAAAUAGAUAAUGACGAAGAUACGUCACGAUAUGAUAUAAGUAUACGUUCGACGACUAAUAUUCUUCGUAUAAAACGAACAAAAUAUCACGUUCGUUAAUCACGACUCGAGUUUAUGUAAUAAACUUGACCACCUCACUAAAAACUGUACAAAUGAUGGAAUGCCUCUUCAACACUAGCUGUCGAAUCGAUAAGCAUCAUCGGCACAGACAUUUCUAUCGACGAUGAUCUGGUUUAUUCGCGUCUAAUACAUCCCCACAAUAGUUGUCGAAAUAAUUGAACGCGCCACUAUAGUCGUUUCCCGUUCGUAGAGCACGAUGUGCACUGUGCACACAGCCUCUUCACCGCGGUGCUUCUCUUUCUUUCCUUCUCUGUUUAUGUACCAGUCAUGAUACCGAGCGA
rnacentral:misc_RNA from 1 species